GUGUCAGCCGCCGCGGUAAUACGUAGGGGGCGAGCGUUGUCCGGAAUUACUGGGUGUAAAGGGCGUGUAGGCGGGGAUGCAAGUUAUCGGUUAAAACCCAAGGCUCAACCUUGGGCUUGCCGGUAAAACUGUGUCUCUUGAGUAUAGGAGAGGGAAGUGGAAUUCCCGGAGUAGCGGUGAAAUGCGUAGAUACCGGGAGGAACACCAGUGGCGAAGGCGGCUUCCUGGCCUAUCACUGACGCUGAGGCGCGAAAGCUAGGGUAGCGAACGGGAUUAGAUACCCCGGUAGUCCUAGCCGUAAACGAUGGUCACUAGGUGUGGGUGGUGGUCAAGCCAUCCGUGCCGGAGCUAACGCAAUAAGUGACCCACCUGGGGAGUACGGCCGCAAGGUUGAAACUCAAAGAAAUUGACGG
rnacentral:rRNA from 1 species